GUGCUCACUUCGGCAGUACUAAAAUUGAAAUGAGACAGAAAAGAUUAGCCUGGCCCCUGCACAAGGAGGAUGUUUAAAAGAAGAAAGAAAAAAAAAUCAA
ensembl:snRNA U6 U6 spliceosomal RNA